UGGGGAAUAUUGGGCAAUGGAGGAAACUCUGACCCAGCAACGCCGCGUGAAGGAAGAAGGAUUUCGGUUCGUAAACUUCUAUCAACAGGGACGAUAAUGACGGUACCUGAGUAAGAAGCCCCGGCUAACUACGUGCCAGCAGCCGCGGUAAUACGUAGGGGGCAAGCGUUAUCCGGAAUUAUUGGGUGUAAAGGGUGAGUAGGCGGCUCUUCAGGUCAUGUGUGAAAUACCGGAGCUUAACUCCGGGGCUGCACAAGAAACCAAGGAGCUAGAGUACAGAAGAGGUAAGCGGAAUUCCUAGUGUAGCGGUGAAAUGCGUAGAUAUUAGGAAGAACACCGGUGGCGAAGGCGGCUUACUGGGCUGAAACUGACGCUGAGUCACGAAAGCGUGGGGAGCAAACA
rnacentral:rRNA from 1 species